CACAAAGUUAACUACGCUAGCAUGUAUAUUUCAUCAAAAUAAGCCUACCCCUUUAAUAUCUCCAAAGUCCCCAAGAUGGACAUUUUCUUGAAAAACAUUGUGUAUGUGUGUGCCUGGAAUUGCUCACAGUGUGUACACGCCAACUAGGGUUGAAGAGGGUAAUUGCAAUUGCAGAUACACACAGUAACACGUGGUACAGCAAUGCUGAACUCUUAUUGGCUCAUCUUGAUGACGUCACGGACCAUCAGGAACCAAUGAGAGAGCUAAUUGUUAAUAAGUGCCUCAGUUAGCAAGACUGAGUUUGCUGAGCUAUAGCACCAUCCAGAUCUAUGUAAGCUAACUUUAACUGCAAGAAAAAAAUCAUUUAAAGAUUCAUACUUUUAUGAUACACAUUGUGUUAGGGGUAAAUAAUAUUUCUUUCAAUAGUAAAGUGUUUUAGUAAGAAAAGCUAUGACAAUGCUAGCUAGUUAAACGGUACUAGCUUAGUUAGCACAUGCUAGUUUCUGUUAUUUAUGGAUAUUUAAAAUUACAAUUAUUACUAUAUCUUCCAUAGACGUUUUCACUAAGCAGUAAGAGAAAUAAUGUGCUAAGAAAAAUGGCUCGGAGGCGACAAAGCCCAAUAAACAAUGCCAUUUUUCACAUCACCACCUGCCGUGAUAAAGCAGGGCUUGAUGUUAAAUACAUCAAUUCCUAUAAAGGCAGGGGAGUGUUUGCCGAGUCAGAUAUGUUCAAAGGAGAUUUCAUACUGGAGUACAGAGGAGACCUUAUCGAUCCAGAAGAAAGUAAACGAAGACGGCGAAUUUACCACAACUCCCUAAAAGGAUUUAUGUUCGAUUUCAUCUGGCAUGGAAAAUUCUGGACGUGAGUACAAAUGGAUUUAUAUAUUUUCCUUUGUUUUGAUGUAUAACUGUAUUAAAUAUUUAAAAAAUAUAUUUGAAAACUCGCUGCUAAAACUAGUAUUAGUUUUUUAUUAGUAUUCUAGUUUUGUUGCCACAUGUGGGAACUCGUGUCUUGUGUGGAGUUGCACAGCAUGGGGAGCAUUUAGAUCAUUUAUCAUCGCUAAACCGCCCAUAACAGCUUUAAAUGUGUAUUAUUAAUUUUUUCAAGUCAGAUGUGGAGUCAAAAUGGGUUACAUAACGUCGCUCAGACACACAGGGAUUGUGGGUAAUAUGGUUGUUUUCUUCUGAUGGAACAGAAUGAUUUCAUCAUUUGUCUGUCAGCAUUUAAGGUACUUAUUGUAAACAUGCCAUACUAUAUUGACUUAUUUACAGUUGGCUUCUAAUAGUUAAGAUAGCAGCUCAU
rnacentral:lncRNA from 1 species